rnacentral:tRNA from 1 species
ACAGUGGUGAUUUAGUGAUAGAAUUCUCACCUUCCAUGCGGGAGACCUGGGUUCAAUUCCCAGCCAAUGCG